rnacentral:rRNA from 1 species
AGAACGAACGCUGGCGGCAGGCCUCAAACAUGCAAGUCUAGGGGGUGUAGCAAUACAUCACCGGCGGACGGGUGCGUAACACGUGGGAAUAUACCUUUUGGUUCGGAACAACGCAGGGAAACUUGCGCUAAUACCGAAUGUGCCCUUACGGGGAAAGAUUUAUCGCCAAAGGAUUAGCCCGCGUAGGAUUAGCUAGUUGGUGAGGUAAUGGCUCACCAAGGCUCCGAUCCUUAGCUGUUCUGAGAGGAAGAUCAGCCACACUGGGACUGAGACACGGCCCAGACUCCUACGGGAGGCAGCAGUUGGGAAUCUUGGACAAUGGGGAAACCCUGAUCCAGCCAUGCCGCGUGAGUGAUGAAGGCCUUCGGGUUGUAAAACUCUUUCGACGGGGACGAUAAUGACGGUACCCGUAGAAGAAGCUCCGGCUAACUUCGCGCCAGCAGCCGC